UACAGAGGGGGCAAGCGUUGUUCGGAAUUACUGGGCGUAAAGGGCGCGUAGGCGGCCCGCUAAGUCGAACGUGAAAUCCCUGGGCUCAACCCAGGAACUGCGUCCGAUACUGGCAGGCUUGAAUCCGGGAGAGGGAUGCGGAAUUCCAGGUGUAGCGGUGAAAUGCGUAGAUAUCUGGAGGAACACCGGUGGCGAAGGCGGCAUCCUGGACCGGUAUUGACGCUGAGGCGCGAAGGCGUGGGGAGCGAACGGG
rnacentral:rRNA from 1 species